rnacentral:rRNA from 1 species
GUAUACGGUCAUGCCACUCUGAAUGCACCUGAUCUUAGCAGCUAAGCAGGUUCAGGCCAGGUUAGCACAUGGUUUGUAGAAUUCCUGAGAAUACUGGUUGCUAUAGGCU